GGAGCCGCUCGCCGCCCGCAGCCUCGCCCGUCCCGCGGCACUCACCCGGCAGCCCGAGGCAGAGCAGCAGGCUGUAGUAGACGACAGGUUAAACAUGCUGGAAAAAAAAGUUUUUUCCCCUGCUUCUUCAGUGGAUGUCUUCAUGAAGUUCUUCUCAUGUUUCUGCAACAGACCCGAGGAGGAAAGAGGUAUUUUAUUGCCUCCCAAAAGAGAAGUGAUUUUUCCUGGAGCCUUUUCUUGGGGGGAGCAAGUACAUCAGCAGGGCUGGAAGCGUGACUCACUGUUUCGAAGCUAAGUGAAGCUCAUCAGCAAAACAAAACACAAAAGAAGGGGAUGGCAGUGGAGCAGGUGAUGGUUAAAAAGUGCCACAUUCAGUUUGCAGCACUAUGAGUCUCUCAACUUUCCAGUUAACAACAGUGAAAUACCACAAGAAGCUGGAGGCUAAGGAAGAACCUCUGCCUUCUAUUUUCUGUUGUGCUGCUACCACUUUUAAGACUGGCCUAGUUUUGAACAUCCUGAGCAAUGGGGCUUCCCUGGAGAGGCCUGUUUCUAUAAUAGAAGCAUAUGUUUCCUCAGAGCUAGAGCUGUCUCCAGGGCACAGUUCAGGUAGCUGCUCAUGUGCUGAGGAGAGCCGAUUGUAGCAAGAAUCUUUUCCAUCUUCCACAUGGAACUCUCAGCAGAGCCUCACAGGAGGCUCUGAUGCCCAUGACAUGUAACUAUUGUAAAAGGAGGAAAUUUGGGAAAUUUGUUCACAUUCACUAACAGUUCUCUCUCUAGUGCCCUGCAAAUGGAGAGACCACAGAAAGAAAUCUGCUCCUCAUACCUCAGCUUAAUUGAAGCUUCUUGAAGAACUUUUCUGCCUCGCUGCACCCAGAGCUUCUAAGGCAGGAUGAACUGGGUUUCCACAUUUGCUUUUGCUUCACUGAAGUAAGAUUAGUGAAAUACUUUGUAAUAUAUCAGAAUUAAGGACCCAAAGUUGAGAAUUGCUCUUGUGUUCUGUGUGUAAAUGGUAUUUGGAGGGGCUUUUGUCCUUCAAACAACUUCAAACCACUUUUGGUCUAAAUGAGAUUAUUUUGGUUGUUCUCUUCUCUGAAUUGUGCAGUAACAGAA